CCUACGGGAGGCAGCAGUAGGGAAUUUUCGUCAAUGGGCGCAAGCCUGAACGAGCAAUGCCGCGUGAACGAGGAAGGUCUUCGGAUCGUAAAGUUCUGUUGAAGGGGAAAAAGAGCGGAGCGAGGAAAUGGUCUCCGAUUGAUAUUACCCUUCGAGGAAGUCACGGCUAACUACGUGCCAGCAGCCGCGGUAAUCCGUAGGUGGCGAGCGUUAGCCGGAAUGAUUGGGCGUAAAGGGUGCGUAGGCGGCCUGCUAAGUCUGGAGUGAAAGGUACCGGCUCAACCGGUACAGGCUCUGGAAACUGGCGGGCUAGAGAGCAGGAGAGGGCGGUGGAACUCCAUGUGUAGCGGUAAAAUGCGUAGAUAUAUGGAAGAACACCAGUGGCGAAGGCGGCCGCCUGGCCUGUUACUGACGCUGAGGCACGAAAGCGUGGGGAGCAAAUAGGAUUAGAUACCCGAGUAGUC
rnacentral:rRNA from 1 species